rnacentral:rRNA from 1 species
GACGAACGCUGGCGGCGUGCUUAACACAUGCAAGUCGAACGGAAAGGCCCUGCUUUUGUGGGGUGCUCGAGUGGCGAACGGGUGAUUAACACGUGAGUAACCUGCCCUUGACUUUGUGAUAACUUCAGGAAACUGGGGCUAAUACCGGAUAGGAUCUCCUGCUGCAUGGUGUGGGUUGGAAAGUUUCGGCGUUUGGGGAUGGACUCGCGGCUUAUCAGCUUGUUGGUGGGGUAGUUGCUUACCCAGGCUUUGACGGGUAGCCGGCAUUAGAGGGUGACCGGGCACAUGGGGACUGCGAUACGGACCAGACUCCUACGGGAGGCAGCAGGGGGGAAUAUUGCACAAUGGGCGGGCGCCUGAGGCAGAAACGCCGCGUGCGGGAUGACGGCUUUCGGGUUGUAAACCGCUUUCGCCGGUGACGAAGCGUGAGUGACGGUAAUGGGUAAAGAAGCACCGGCUAACUACGUG